UAGGUGCAAUUGGAAGUUGGAGUUGCAAGUCAAUCUCGAUUAGAAAAGAAAGAACAAGAAGGAAAAAAGCAAAUUCCAGAUUUUCGGGUGCAAUUAGAAGUUGGAUUUGCAAGUCAAUCUCGAUCAGAAAAGAAAAAACAAGAA